AGCGGCGGCGCAGGCGCGGAGAGGCGCACAGCGCAGGCGCUGGCGCGGAGAGGCGCAGGCCCAGGUCCACUCCCCAGCUGUGAAAGGAGGAGCUCUACGGUGACUUUGAAGACUUGGAAACAGGGGACAUGCACAAGGGAAAAUCGGGCCCCGACACUCAGAAUGAAGAUAUAGAGAAACAAGGAAGAAAUUGACCCCGACGAAGAAGAAAGUGCCAAGAAAAAGCAUUUGGAUAAGAAGAGAAAAUUGAAGGAGAUGUUUGAUGCGGAAUAUGAUGAAGGAGAAAGCACAUAUUUUGAUGAUCUUAAAGGAGAAAUGCAGAAAGAAGCACAGCUGAAUCACGUAGAAUUUGAAGAUCAAGAUGAUGAAGCCAGAGUUCAGUAUGAUGGUUUUCGACCUGGGAUGUACGUCCGCGUUGAGAUUGAAAAUGUUCCCUGUGAAUUUGUGCAGAACUUUGACCCCCAUUACCCCAUUAUCCUGGGUGGCUUGGGCAACAGCGAGGGAAAUGUUGGACACGUGCAGCCUGAUUUUCGGAUAGCUGCCACAGGAGUUGUCCUUGAUCUGGAUAAAUCCAUAAAAAUUGUGAAGAAAUUAAAGCUAACUGGUUUUCCAUAUAAAAUUUUCAAGAACACUUCAUUUAUUAAGAUAUUGUCUUCAUGCGAACUUGGUAUCCUGUUUCCAUCCCAGCCUUCUAUAACCCAGUAACAUCUUUGUUGAAACCAGUGGGUGAGAAAGACACCUGGUCAGGAAUGUGGACCACGGGCCACCUCGGGCUCGCCCAUGGUGUCAGACUAAAGACAAACAAGGACUCUCUGUAUAAGGUACUGGUCGUGUGUGUGUUAGUGGAGAUGAAGCCUGUGCCCUACAGACAGGGAGUCACGCAGACACUUUUCUAUAAUUUCUUACGUACUUUGAAUGUUCAAGUAUAAAGUCUAAUGUUAAAUUUGAUUGAACAAUUGUAUAUUUGUGGGAUAUUUUGGAAUGGAACACCAAAAAAUGGUAAUAGUGGUUCUUUCUGGAUUGAAGACAAACUUUUCUUUUUUAAAAUAAAUUUUAUUUUAUAUAUUUGAGGUUGACAACAUGAUCUUAAAGGAUAAAUAUAGAUAGUAAACUGGUUACUAUAGUGAAGCAAAUUAACAUAGCUACCAUCUCACAUAGUUAGAUUUUUGUUUGUGUGACAGGAACAGCUAAAAUCUACUUAUUUAACAAAAAUCCCAAAGACAAUAUAUUUUUAUUAACUAUAGCCCUCAUGAUGUACACUAGAUCUCUAACUUGUUCAUCCUACAUGUCUGCUACUUUGUAUUAUUUUAAUGUACAUCUCCCCAUUUCCUACUGGUCAUUUCCUAUUUGGCCCAUUUUUCAACUGGGUUGUUUUUCUGCUAUUAAGUUGUAAGAGUUCUUUACUGAUUUUUGGAUAUUAACACUUUAUCAGAUAUGUGGUUUGCAAAUAUUUCUUCCAGUCUAUAGGUUCCCCUUUCAUUUUGUUGGUUGUUCCUUUGCUGUGCAGAAGCUUUUUAGUUUGAUGCAGUCCUCCUUGUUUAUGUUUACAUUUGUAGCCUGGCUUGUGGUGCGAUAUCCAAAAAAUUAUUGCUAAGGCCAAUGUCAAGAGGCUUUCCCCCUAUGUUUUCUUCUAGGAGUUUUAUGGUUUCAGGUCUUAUUUGGGUCUUUGGUCUUGUAUCUGUUUUGAGUUGAUUUUUGUGUAUGGUGUAUGAUCAGGGUCGAAUUUUAUUCUUUUGCAUGUGAAAAUCCUAUUAUUGAAGAAACUAUCUUUUUUACCAUUGUGUUGUCUUGUUUGCCCUUGUCAAAAAUUAGUUGACAGUAUAUGUUUGGAUUUAUUUCAAAGGUCUCUGUUCUGUUCCAUUGGUCUAUUUUUUUGUUUUUAUGCCAGCACCAUACUGUUUUGAUUACUAUAGCUUUGUAAUACAAUUUUAAAUCAAGA
ensembl:lncRNA novel transcript